rnacentral:rRNA from 1 species
ACUGAACGCUGGCGGCAUGCCUUACACAUGCAAGUCGAACGGUAACGCGGGGCAACCUGGCGACGAGUGGCGAACGGGUGAGUAACGCAUCGGAACGUGCCCAGUAGUGGGGGAUAGCCCGGCGAAAGCCGGAUUAAUACCGCAUACGACCUACGGGUGAACGGGGGGGAUCGCAAGACCUCUCGCUAUUGGAGCGGCCGAUGUCAGAUUAGGUAGUUGGUGGGGUAAAGGCCCACCAAGCCUUCGAUCUGUAGCUGGUCUGAGAGGACGACCAGCCACACUGGGACUGAGACACGGCCCAGACUCCUACGGGAGGCAGCAGUGGGGAAUUUUGGACAAUGGGCGCAAGCCUGAUCCAGCCAUGCCGCGUGCGGGAAGAAGGCCUUCGGGUUGUAAACCGCUUUUGUCAGGGAAGAAACGCUCUGGGCUAAUACCCCGGGGUAAUGACGGUACCUGAAGAAUAAGCACCGGCUAACUACGUGCCAGCAGCCGCCGCGG